CCUAAGCCAGAAUGGAGGGUCAAGGAGGGCUCACCAAAGAAGGAGAGUUCUCAACUGACGCACACAUAUUAGCACCUGUGACUACCAUCAAAAAGCAUGUAGAGUCUUAUUCAUGGUCAAUUUGGGGUCUGAUUGAAAGCUUGAAAUUACCGAAAGGUACAACCCACAGGGUCUAUUGCACAGGUCAGCAAGCAGAAAGAUACUGAUUCAUGAUGAAUGAACCUCUGAUAAGGAGGCAAAACACUGGACACAGGGAGAGGAUAACUUUUCAGCCAAGGUAAUAAGAAAUGCCAAGAGGAAAAUCAUGAUGGUGAUGUGAGUCAGAGAGAGAAAUCAAAACAGUAUCUCAUGUUUAUAUACUGCUUUACUGUUUUCCUAAAUUCUUUUUAGGAAAUUUAUCUUAAAUUCUUUUUCACAUUUAUUAUAUGAUUUCAUUUAACCCUCUUAACCCUCUAAAAACUUCUACAAGGUACGUAGCUAGAGCAGGUUUUAUUACCACGUUGUUUUUUUUUUUUCUGUUUUACAGAUGAGAAAACUGAGGCUUGGAGAGGCUAAGAGAUUUUUCUCAAAUCAUACAGCUAUAAAAUUGCGAGGGCUCACACUCAUUAUUUUUUAACAUGCAACCCAGUGAGUUACAUGUGAACUCUUUGGACUACAUGACUUGGUGACUUCCUACAGCAUACUCAGACCCUCCCAGUCAUUAGAUUACAAGGUGGUUAGUCAGCCUCCAGUGAAAAUGCUGCGUUAACUCUGGAAGUAAAAGCUAUAGGCGAAGUGGAGAGAAGGGGGUAGGGAAGAAAGAUUGAAAAUACUAUCGUAGCACCAAGAAAACACUGAAAAGAGACAGAGUGGACAACCAUUGGAAAACUUACGAUCAUAACCUUUGCCCACUGGCAAAAGACCGGAAAGGAAAAACCAUAUGGUGGAUGAUAAGAUUUGGUGACAAGACGGAACAGCACAAAAAAUAAAUUAGCUCAUCCAGAGAGGGGCCAACGACACAAUGAUUACCUACAAACACGCACGAGAACAGACUCGUACUCCAACUCCGCCGCCAUCUUGGCUCUGCUCACCGCCCAGCUGGGGGCGCGGCGUGAGCACGGGGGCGGAACGUGGAGGCGGGGAAUCGCGUUACGCAACAACUUCCGUUUACGCUACUUCCGCGAGAGUUCCACUGGGUUCCUGAGAUUAACCUCCGGUGCCGCGGGUCCGGGAAGCCAUGUUGAAACCUGGAAACGCUCUAUCCAGUGAAUGGACAGAAUAUACAACUUUUGAGCUUCCCUGGUGGCGCAGUGAUUGAGAGUCUGCCUGCCGAUGCAGGGGACACGGGUUCGUGCCCCGGU